UACGUAGGGUGCAAGCGUUGUCCGGAAUUAUUGGGCGUAAAGAGCUCGUAGGCGGUUUGUCGCGUCUGCUGUGAAAACUGGAGGCUCAACCUCCAGCCUGCAGUGGGUACGGGCAAACUAGAGUGCGGUAGGGGAGAUUGGAAUUCCUGGUGUAGCGGUGAAAUGCGCAGAUAUCAGGAGGAACACCGGUGGCGAAGGCGGGUCUC
rnacentral:rRNA from 1 species